UACGUAGGGUGCAAGCGUUAAUCGGAAUUACUGGGCGUAAAGCGUGCGCAGGCGGUUUUGUAAGUCUGACGUGAAAUCCCCGGGCUUAACCUGGGAAUGGCGUUUGAAACUACGGAGCUGGAGUGUGGCAGAGGGAGGUAGAAUUCCACGUGUAGCGGUGAAAUGCGUAGAUAUGUGGAGGAAUACCGAUGGCGAAGGCAGCCUCCUGGGCCAACACUGACGCUCAUGCACGAAAGCGUGGGGAGCAAACAGG
rnacentral:rRNA from 1 species